rnacentral:rRNA from 1 species
UACGUAGGGGGCAAGCGUUGUCCGGAAUUAUUGGGCGUAAAGCGCGCGCAGGCGGCCGUUUAAGUCUGGUGUUUAAGCCCGGGGCUCAACCCCGGUUCGCACUGGAAACUGGGCGGCUUGAGUGCAGGAGAGGAAAGCGGAAUUCCACGUGUAGCGGUGAAAUGCGUAGAUAUGUGGAGGAACACCAGUGGCGAAGGCGGCUUUCUGGGCCAACACUGACGCUCAUGCACGAAAGCGUGGGGAGCAAACAGG